UCAAAAGAUAAUUUUAAAAUUGGUUGAAUGUUUUAAUUGUUCUUUUAUAAUUAUUAUCAUGACCUCAGACUAGUAAGGAGUACCUAUUUUAACAGAACGGGACUUUUCAAAUUUACUUUCAAUAUUAUAAUACUGUAUAAAGAACAUGUAUCAAAGCUUCAUUGGGAAGAAACUGCAUUUUAGAUGAGCUAUGAUUUGAGCUGAAAUAAAAUUGUUUUAUCCCCAAUAUAUCAGGUUUCCCGAACAAAGAUUAGGGUUAGGAGAUUUCAGACAGCUGCCAAUUACCUGAAAAAAGCAGGAAACACCUGCUGCCAUUUAAACCCCACACACAUGCUCUCUUUCAUGUCUGGUGUUUUUACCCCUCCCCCACCCCACACGUCUGUGCCCUUGUGCCUUUGCCUUGUGGUGGGGAGGGGCCAGGGCUCACGAGAGGAAGCUAACGAGGAUGGGUGCCGCUCCUGAACUGUACCUUGAUCUCAUUACAAUCGAUCGGUUCUGUUUUUGUAGGUUUAGCCGACUUUGGCUCUGGCACCAGGAUAGGGGUGAUGUCAUUGCUCAUGUGCCUUGAAUCAUCCGGGACAUGGGAAGUCAAACAGAUGACCUCAAUUUGGAAAUGGAGUGCUGGAACCAGGAGGGCCAGACCAGAGUAAAAGAUACCACUUGCCAGACUGAUCAAGUGGCACUUAACAUCUCUACGCAGGUCAAUAAGAAGCCUGAAAGGAGAGAUUGCAAGUGGCUGUGAUGUACUACAAAGAGAACAGCAAGAGACUUCAUGCGUUCACAAAGGAUGGACACCUGCAGCACAGCAUCUUGUAUCCAAAAAACAAGUGUGGUGAAUAUGUUGUACGGCCCCCUUAAGAUGAGUCCUACCUUCGCUGAUAAUUGUUUUGGUCUUGGGACAAUUUUUGCUCUGACUGUUGCUCGUAGAGUACUUGAAUAUUUGAAUUAUGAAGUUCUUACAUACUUUUUUCACAUCUUCCGACCAAUGAACGCUAUGUUGACAGUUUUAUUGAGCAGCUUUUUGAGCAUGUACUGAAAGACCCAGGGGUGUAUCAGGAGCUGUUACGGGAUAAAUAUAUCCCUGAGGACCUAUGUACUCAAUUUCAGAGAGUGGACAUAGAGGGGGCAGUGUUGAGGCAUCAAUCUCGCUUCUGGCAGCCACAUUACAAGGAGGAAAAUGAUUAGGUAAAUUGAUUUCCUGCUCUAUAACAUUUUUCAUGUCAUAUUAUUUACAGAUUAAAUUAUGACUCUGGUGUCAACUUUAAUGGGCUACAGCAUUAAAUCAGUGUGACACUAAAUCA